GGUAGCUCAGUGAUAGGACAUCUGCUUUGCUUGCAGAGGGUCCCAGGUUCCAUCCCUGGCAUCUCCA